GUUCCUGGAGUUCAGCUGGUAGAACCCUGCGUGUCGAUGCUGGAGGUCGAGGGUUCGAUCCACUCCAGGAACA
rnacentral:tRNA from 1 species